GACGAACGCUGGCGGCGUGCUUAACACAUGCAAGUCGAACGGUGAAGCGCCUUCCUUUUUGGUGGGUGUGGAUGAGUGGCGAACGGGUGAGUAACACGUGAGUAACCUGCCCCCUUCUUCUGGAUAACCGCAUGAAAGUGUGGCUAAUACGGGAUAUUCUGGGUCUGUCGCAUGAUGGGUCUGGGAAAGAUAUUGUUUCGGUGGGGGAUGGGCUCGCGGCCUAUCAGCUUGUUGGUGGGGUGAUGGCCUACCAAGGCGGUGACGGGUAGCCGGCCUGAGAGGGUGGACGGUCACACUGGGACUGAGACACGGCGCAGACUCCUACGGGAGGCAGCAGUGGGGAAUAUUGCACAAUGGGCGAAAGCCUGAUGCAGCGACGCCGCGUGAGGGAUGGAGGCCUUCGGGUUGUGAACCUCUUUCGCCAGUGAAGCAGGCCUGCCUCGUUUGUGGGUGGGUUGACGGUAGCUGGAGAAGAAGCGCCGGCUAACUACGUG
rnacentral:rRNA from 1 species